rnacentral:rRNA from 1 species
CAGUCGCCGCGGGAAUACGUAGGUGGCAAGCGUUAAUCGGAAUUACUGGGCGUAAAGCGUGCGCAGGCGGUUGUGUAAGACAGGUGUGAAAUCCCCGGGCUUAACCUGGGAACUGCGCUUGUGACUGCACAGCUAGAGUAUGGCAGAGGGGGGUGGAAUUCCACGUGUAGCAGUGAAAUGCGUAGAGAUGUGGAGGAACACCGAUGGCGAAGGCAGCCCCCUGGGCCAAUACUGACGCUCAUGCACGAAAGCGUGGGGAGCUAACAGAAUUAGAUUCCCGUGUAGUCCCUGUCUCUUAUAC